CACACGUUUGCCUUGGUGCUUAAAGAAAUACUUACGUGGGCAACUCUGGGUUAACAGUGCUGAAGUACACCUCACCCAUCACAUGGUUACAGGGCUGCUCAGAGCCACAGCACUGAAGGGGAUGAGCUAGCUGAAUGCUGCAGCGAGAAGUCCCAAAAGAGGGGCUACAGCCCCCCCUACCAUCCAGCUAAAUCUGUGCCUGUCUUAAAACAUAGACAUGCAAGGAAAGCCAUAUAUUAUACCAGUGCCCUAGGCCACGUUUUAACAUUCACACUUCAGUCUUUCUCGCUGCCUACAGGAACGAGUGUUAAAUACCAGGGGGUGAGUGGUCUUCCACCUCUGGCCUCUCCUUCCACCCUCACUUGCUUUCACUGUCCUACAGCCGGAUCAGCAUCCCAGGAGAGCAACAAGCACCAGCCAAGGCUUCAUCCAUUGAGGGCCUGGAAGGUUUCAUCCCUAUCUUGUUCUAUGGAUUUUUUCCCCUGAGGAUGAACACAGCAGAUGGCAGAGACCACGGAGAAGAUGGAGGUCAGCAUACGCGACUUUGACCUAUGUUGUGAGUUCAUACAAGAAUCAGAGGAGUGACUUAGCUUCAUCCUCCUUUUUGAACAAGGUUGAAGUACUAGUGCAGCUUUAAGUGUUCCAAAGAAAGUACCAAAGCAUGUGAAGUUCCCUGAUUUGUUGUUGUUUGCUGUUGUUGUUUGUUUCUGUCUACCUGAAUUCUCAGUCUGUCUCCAAAGAAAGGUGUUCAAACAGGGUCAGCAACCUGAGUACUUCAAAAGCACAUGGAAGUCCUGCAGCAUGAGCUUUCUCCCAGAAAGCUAGUGCAAGAGUGGGUGGUUUUAUGAAAAUUGCUUGAAUGCGGGACUGGUCUUCAGAAAAGAAUUCUGCAAAAUGCCUGGUGGACAUGUAGACAAUAGGGGAGUGUCUGCAAUAACAAUGGAAAGCACUUUCCCUAAUGGGAAACAUCCUCAUCAUUCAUAACAUAUCCUUGCGCUAUGUGGUUCUUCGGGUGUUGAAAUGUAGGGUGGAUCCAAAACCCUGAGUGCAGCUGAUCCAAGUUAUCUAAUUGCUGCUAAUGUUUUUCUCGUUGGUGGGCACAGGAAACUUGUGUAAUGAAAAACAACAUUAAAAUAGCACUAGGAUUCUGUCUUACAGCACCAAGAGAAAAGAGGCACUAGUCUUCCUGCAUUAAGGAUGCCAGCCACUCCAGCUCCCCAGCCAGCUCUCUUUGAACAUUUUGUACAGUAUCUGCAACAAUACUAACGAAUGCAAUUAGGAUGAAUCACGUAACAAGGAUGAAUCAAGGGUACAAAGGGGAUCUGGCUGCUCAACAGAAAUCUAAAACUAAAACCACCCACUACAUCCCUUUCAGAGCAAGAAUGGUUUGACCGGAAUGCGCUUCAAUAAAGUAUUUUUCUGUUCUUUAGCCUAACGCUGU
rnacentral:lncRNA from 1 species